UACGUAGGCAGCAAGCGUUGUUCGGAAUUAUUGGGCGUAAAGAGCUCGUAGGCGGUCUGUCACGUCGGCUGUGAAAUCCCGAGGCUCAACCUCGGGUCUGCAGUCGAUACGGGCAAACUAGAGUAUUGCAGGGGAGACUGGAAUUCCUGGUGUAGCGGUGAAAUGCGCAGAUAUCAGGAGGAACACCGGUGGCGAAGGCGGGUCUCUGGGCAAUAACUGACGCUGAGGAGCGAAAGCGUGGGGAGCGAACAGG
rnacentral:rRNA from 1 species